UGCCAGCCGCCGCGGUAAUACAUAGGGGUCAAGCGUUGUCCGGAUUUAUUGGGCGUAAAGCGUGUGUAGGCUGCGCGGAAAGUCAAAUGUGAAAGCCCGGGGCUCAACCUCGGAACUGCAUUCGAUACCCCCGUGCUAGAGUAAUGGAGAGGUAAGUGGAAUUCCUGGUGUAGCGGUGAAAUGCGUGGAUAUCAGGAGGAACAUCAAUGGCGAAGGCAACUUACUGGACAUUUACUGACGCUCAGACACGAAGGCUAGGGUAGCGAAAGGGAUUAGAUA
rnacentral:rRNA from 1 species